UUCACAGUGGCAACUUAGGUCUGAAUCAGCCUCCUCAAGGCUGGGGGAGGCUACAAUGUGUUAUCAUCUGAGGUCAUGUACAGAGAUCUUCUCACCCACAGCUCCUCUAACACCAGACCCCACGGAGCUGCAAGAACUCUAGUUUCCAAGCUGAGAUUUGACUCAACUCUCAACUCUCAUGCUCCCCUGGCCUGCAUCUCUGCCAUGAGUCAAGUACCAGAGCAGCUGUGCCUUUUAUUGGGAAUCUCUGUCCUAACAGUCAUCCUCGUCUUCAGUGUACCAUCCAAAUGGGGCUGGACAAAGCCUCCACAGAGGCCCAUGCAGAACUUGAUUGUAAGACCCAGUUGCUGAAGAUACCAUACACAUGGUUACAGGACACGGAAAAACCAGUAACAACUAGAAAACCUCCCUGCUGGCCAGCUCUCUUAUACUGGAAGGGGCUGUGCAUAGUAUCAAACUGCUGUCUAAAUUUGUAUCUCUCUAAAUACAAAGUUGCCCAGCUCUGAGAUCUCUUCUGAGAAGUUUCU